GAGAUGGUGGAUCUACUUUACCAGAACCAAAUCCACUUGUUUUGAGGAAAUAUACUUAUGAGGAACUAUCAAAGGCGACUCAUUAUUUCUCCAACAGUAAUAGGCUUGGCUCAGGUGGUUUUGGUGAUGUCUUCAAGGGAUCACUAGAUGGUAAAGUCGUUGCUAUCAAGAAACUUAAAUAUAAAAAGGAUGGAGAGCCACAACAUAAAUUAGAUGAGAUCGAGUACCUUAAAAGAGUGAGUCACCGAAAUCUUGUUAAGUUGAUUGGCUACUGCGAUGAAGGCGCAGCGCAGAUAAAUUGCUUGUCUUAGAGUUUGUUCCCAAUAAGACCUUGAGACAUCAUUUAGACGGAAAAGAGAAUGUAUUAGAGUGGUCAAUGAGAAUGAAAAUCGCCAUAAAAUCUGCAUAUGGAUUGCAAUAUCUGCAUGAAAAGUGUAAAAUUAUACAUCAAGAUAUCAAGGCAGAUAAUAUACUUCUCGACAAUAAAUUUGAGCCAAAGGUUACAGAUUUUUCGCUUGCCAAGUUUUUGCCAAAUAUUGGUAAUGUUAGCCAUAUCACCAGUCUAUUCAAGGGAGCUAACGUUUAUGCAGAUCCAGAGGAUGGAAUACAAAAAGUCUCUGAGAAGUCAGAUAUCUAUUCCUAUGGCAUUGUUCUUCUAGAGCUAAUUACUGGAAAAAAGGCUUUAAGUAAAAGUGAUAAUAUUGCUAAUUGGGCAAAAUCUAGAAUUGAGAAUUGAAGAAGCGUUGAACAAUAAAAAAUUCAUGGAUUUUGUUGAUUUCAAAUUGCAUGGGGCUUACGAUGAAAGACAAAUGCAAAGAAUGAUUUCUUGUGCUGCAGCUUGUGUAUAUGAACCUUCAAACUCUCGACCAGACAUGAAACAGAUAAUUGAAAUUCUUGAAGGAACUAUACCUAUGGAGGGGACAAUAUCUCUUCACGGGGGCGCUCUUAUUGAUCUACAAUCUGCACUUGGCAUUGAGAGCCUACAAAUUAGUUCGCCAGUAAUUUUUACUUAUCAAGAACUAGCAAAGGCAACAAAUCAUUUCUCUAACAACAAUUUGCUUGGUGAGGGUGGUUUUGGUAUAGUAUAUAAGGGCUCUCUCGGAAAUAAUGGGAUCGUUGCAAUUAAGAAGCUUAAAUAUCUAGGUGAAGAAUUGAGCACAAGUGAAUUUGAGGAGGAGAUCAAGACCAUUAGCCGCAUCUAUUAUCGACNUUAAGCUGAUUGGAUACUGCAAUGAAGGAAUCAACAGAUUGCUUGUUUAUGAGCUUGCUCCCAACAAAUCCUUGCGAUUUCAUUUACAAAGAAAUAUCAGGAAGACUAUGAAUUGGUCAACCAGAGUGAGAAUCGCCAUGGGUGUCGCGAAAGGAUUGGCCUAUUUGCAUGAAUGGUGUCAGCCUAAGAUCAUACAUGGAAAUAUUAAAGUGGAUAACAUUCUUCUUACUAAUAGCUUCGAACCAAAGAUUUCAGAUUAUGGAUUUGCCAAAGAGAAUGAGGAGCUUUCAAAUUCUUAUAUUCCUAUUAUCUAUAAUUCAAAAGGAUCUUUGGGUUAUUUGGCUCCUGAGUAUAUCAAUAGUAGGAAGCUUACUGAUAAGUGCGAUGUCUUUUCCUUCGGUAUUAUACUUCUGGAAUUGAUUACUGGGAAAAGAGCUAUUAAGAAUGAAGGCAUUUUUCACAAUAGAUUGUCUAUUUUGGCAGUGCCUUUACUGAAACGAGCUUUGGACAAAGGCGAUUAUAAUGACAUUAUUGAUGCCGAAUUGCAAAACAAAUAUAAUAAAGAUGAAAUAAUUAGAAUGAUUUACUGUUCUGC
rnacentral:misc_RNA from 1 species